rnacentral:tRNA from 7 species
GCGGAAGUAGUUCAGUGGUAGAACAUCACCUUGCCAAGGUGGGGGUCGCGAGUUCGAACCUCGUCUUCCGCUCCA